rnacentral:rRNA from 1 species
AUUGAACGCUGGCGGCAGGCCUAACACAUGCAAGUCGAGCGGAUGAAGGGAGCUUGCUCCUGGAUUCAGCGGCGGACGGGUGAGUAAGGCCUAGGAAUCUGCCUGGCAGUGGGGGAUAACGUCCGGAAACGGGCGCUAAUACCGCAUACGUCCUGAGGUAGAAAGGGGGGGAUCUUCGGACCUCACGCUAUCAGAUGAGCCUAAGUCGGAUUAGCUAGUUGGAGGGGUAAAGGCCUACCAAGGCGACGAUCCGUAACUGGUCUGAGAGGCUGAUCGGUCACACUGGAACUGAGACACGGUCCAGACUCCUACGGGAGGCAGCAGUGGGGAAUAUUGGACAAUGGGCGAAAGCCUGAUCCAGCAAUGCCGCGUGUGUGAAGAAGGUCUUCGGAUUGUAAAGCACUGUUAGUUGGGAGGAAGGGCAGUAAGUUUAUCCCUUGCUGUUUUGACGUUACCAACAGAAUAAGCACCGGCUAACUUCGUG